AUCCCGGCAUGCAUCUGGAGUGACCUGGAGCUGUGUCUGCAGUAGGAUUGCAGAGAGAUAUCUGCUGAUUUCCCAGGGAGAGGUAAUUAGCUGCAAUAACUACACAGAUUUGGGCUUCUGUACCCCUUGCUGGUCAUUCUUUUACCAUGUGACUUUCUGCUCCUCUUUGCUAUAGCCAUGACUUUGUCACCUUGUCACUUACCUGUCAAUAUGUCUGCUAUUGUGUCACCUACUUACCCCUCUCCCAACUAUAGUGAUACAUAUCUGCCUCUAUUUACUUCAUCCUGUUACCCUGUCCAUUUCUCUACUUCAUUACCUUGGCAGGUAUCAGCUCUUCCCAAUACUGGCAUCAUGUGCCCCUCUCAGAUAACAUGUCACAAUACCAGCUCCUUUCUAUGGUCCAUUACCACCUACCUGCCCUUCUAUAUGCCCCCUCUAUCUCUAAUGCUCUCACAUAACUGCCCCUCUAUCUCUAAUGCUCUCACAUAACUGCCCCUCUAUCUCUAAUGCUCUCACAUAACUGCCCCUCUAUUUCUAAUGCUCUCACAUAACUGCCCCUCUAUCUCUAAUGCUCUCACAUAACUGCCCCUCUAUCUCUAAGGCUCUCACAUAUCUACCCCACUCUCUCUAAGGCUCUCACAUAUCUACCCCACUCUCUCUAAGGCUCUCACAUAUCUACCCCACUCUCUCUAAGGCUCUCACAUAUCUACCCCAUUCUCUCUAAGGCUCUCACAUAUCUACCCCACUCUCUCUAAGGCUCUCACAUAUCUACCCCACUCUCUCUAAGGCUCUCACAUAUCUACCCCUCUCUCUCUAAGGCUCUCAUAUAUCUACCCCUCUCUCUCUAAGGCUCUCACAUAUCUACCCCUCUCUCUCUAAGGCUCUCACAUAUCUACCCUUCUCUCUUUAAGGCUCUCACAUAUCUACCCUUCUCUCUCUAAGGCUCUCACAUAUCUACCCCUCUCUCUCUAAGGCUCUCACAUAUCUACCCUUCUCUCUCUAAGGCUCUCACAUAUCUACCCUUCUCUCUCUAAGGGUCUCACAUAUCUACCCCUCUCUCUCUAAGGCUCUCACAUAUCUACCCUUCUCUCUCUAAGGCUCUCACAUAUCUACCCCUCUCUCUCUCUAAGGCUCUCACAUAUCUACCCCUCUCUCUCUCUAAGGCUCUCACAUAUUUGCCCCACUUUCUCUAAUGCUCUCACCUAUCUGCCCCUCUGUCUAUCAGCUAUAGCGUAACUGCCCCUCUCUCUCGAAUGCUCUCACAUAUCUGCCCUCUCUCUCGAAUGCUCUCACAUAUCUGCCCUCUCUCUCGAAUGCUCUCACAUAUCUGCCCCCUCUCUCGAAUGCUCUCACAUAUCUGCCCCCUCUCUCAAAUGCUCUCACAUAUCUUCCCUCUAUCUCUAAGGCUCUCACAUAUCUGCCCCUCUGUCUAUCAGCUAUAGCUUAUCUGCCGCUCUCUUGGUUUCUGGCAUAUCAACCCUUCUCUCUUUUUUAUGUUCUCACAUAUCGCUGUUGUACAAGAAAUAUUUGUUCUCUGAAUAAUGAUUCUUUUCUAAAUUUAACUGUAGAUCAGUCAUUGAGAUCAUUGGGACCGUUAUGUACAGAAUAGAUCAGCAGAAUGUUCUGUGAUCUACAUUUCUGAAAAUAUUACCACUAAAUCACCAUAAGGACAUUUUUUCGAAACGCUGGUUCUUGGCGCAGCAUUAUUAUUUCCUAGAGUUCCCACUCUCUCCACGUUAUUCAGCGGCCCCUAGAGGUGACUCUUUCUUAUUUUAUGUCAUUUUACAUAGAUGUGUCUCUGUAGCUUGUUUUACGUUAACAGGGAUAUAGUCUCCCUUACUGUCACUGCUUGC